rnacentral:lncRNA from 1 species
CUCUUAGAUGGCCUCUCAGCAUUUGUAGCCACAGGAUCUGGUGCAAAUUAGAUGUAGAAUUAGUUUAUUAAAGGAUGUAGAAUUCUUAUCCACAAUUCCUGUCAACAAGAAUGCUUUGGCUACUAGCUGUUCAUAAAUUAGCUUUCUAAAAAAGUGCUGGACUGUAGCAUAUUUUACCUGCCUUUUCCAUUACUUUGUCUUUUUAAUUGGUUUCAUUUUCAUAUCCUGGCUGCAGGCUAAUGUUUGAUUGUUAUUUUUCCGCACAGAAUCCAAAUUCACCAAGAAGAUCCAAAUCCAUGAAACAUAAAAAUGCUUUGCUGGGUCCUAAGAGACGUGUGGAGAACCAGGACAGUUUGUGCGUGUUGCUAAGAGAGGAGACAUUCUCUCAAUAACCCUGUGGGUAUCAGGAGUCACUCACUACCCACAGUGCCACACUGUUCACCUUAUCACGGGAUUGUGUGAUCUAAAUUAUGCUGAUCAGUGGAGGAGAUGUGGACUAAUUCUUCUGUCAUUGUUUACAUAAUUUUUUUUUUCCAUUUUCAUCUUCAGAAUUUUUUGCACACUCUCUCAUUGCUUGCUCUGCUUGUGCAGCUUUGAUUUCUGGUCUCUCAAAAUCGACACAUCUAGAAUAGAGGAACUUGCACGAUUCUCUCAGGGAGGAAGUUAGAACUCAUCAUAUCGGCAGACAGACGCUGGGCCAGCUGAGCUCUCCCAUCACUAAGGUGCAGGAUUCUUUCUAAGUGAAAUUGAAAUGAAAUUCUCAUUCUGGGAGGAUUUUACAGCAGUUAAUCAUGAAAUCGUUAAAGAUUUAAUAGCAAAAAAUCAAGAUCGUGAACAGUUUCCCAUCAGGUAAUUACUACACAGUUUCUUAUUACAUUGUUUUGGAGAAUCAUGAUCCAGUAGAGUAUUUUCUUUUCUCUGUAGUUCAAUAGCCAAAGUGUGGUACAGUUGUACUGUAUUAUGUCACUAGUUCUAUAGCACAUUAUCAUACUACAUUUUUUAUUUUCAAUAGUAAGUUAUUGGUUACAAAGAGAGGAAAGACAGUUUGGCAUAGACCUCCAAAAAUAAUUAAGGCUUGAGAAUAUCUUUUUCAUUGUUCUUUUUUUUUUUUUUUUCUCGAUUUUUUUAUGUAUUAGAUGUUUACAGUGUAAGGUGUCCUGUGCGGUCUCACUUUGUGACUGUGAUAUAUAUAUAGAUAUAUAUAUCUAUAUAUAUAUAUAUGACUAGGUGAAAGAUGCUGCUAUCCUGACCGUGAGCCAUACACUUAUGG